rnacentral:rRNA from 1 species
CUAUCACUCCUACGGGAGGCAGCAGUGGGGAAUAUUGCACAAUGGGGGAAACCCUGAUGCAGCCAUGCCGCGUGUGUGAAGAAGGCCUUCGGGUUGUAAAGCACUUUCAGUAGGGAGGAAGGUAGUGUAGUUAACACCUGCAUUAUUUGACGUUACCUACAGAAGAAGCACCGGCUAACUCCGUGCCAGCAGCCGCGGUAAUACGGAGGGUGCGAGCGUUAAUCGGAAUUACUGGGCGUAAAGCGCAUGCAGGCGGCCUGUUAAGUCAGUAUGUGAAAGCCCGGGGCUUAACCUCGGAAUUGCAUUUGAAACUGGCAGGCUAGAGUCUUGUAGAGGGGGUAGAAUUUCAGGUGUAGCGGUGAAAUGCGUAGAGAUCUGAAGGAAUACCAGUGGCGAAGGCGGCCCCCUGGACAAAGACUGACGCUCAGAUGCGAAAGCGUGGGGAGCAAACAGGAUUAGAUACCCUGGUAG